rnacentral:misc_RNA from 1 species
UUGGUGAUAUAGCAGGUGGCAAAAAAAUUGGUUAUUUAGGAAGUUCAGAUAACUAAUCUUCACCGCUAAUAAAAGCAACCUGCUAAGAAUGAAAUUAGUGUGAGAACAAUUAAGUUUCAUGAUUUGGGGGAGAAUCCAAAGCCUGCAGAGAAGUAUAUCUAAGACGUCUUUCCAAGUCUUCUUGUUGCAAAUACUGCCAAAAUAAUGCACAUCAACCACUAAUUACAGUAAAAUUUGGUAAAUGGAAAAUUUUAAAUUCAAGACCUUCACAUCACUUACCGCAAAAUGGAGAGACCAACCAAACUACACACUUGCAAAGUUAAUGCUUUUGGCUAUGCCACUUAAGCAACAAAUAUAAGAUAAAGCAGAAAUUUUGGUAAGAUUAUAGUAAAUAGUUUAGAUCAGUGACCAAAGUCUAGAAUUGAGAAUUUGCUGCAGAGAAUGUUAGAUCCUGCUCGUCAAUGUGGCAGCUCUGGCAG